GUGAUUGAGGAAGAUCACAGAUUUCUCAUUGUUUUUCUCAUCUUCUUUUCUUUUUCUGAAUCCUUCCCAUAUUCAUCCAAAGGCAUGCUCAUCCACUUUCUGUAGAGGGUUUAGGGUCGAAUCACCAUCGCUCUCUAUUUUCUCUUCUUCUUCGAUAGUUCCGUCACUCUCUUCUUAUGGAUUGUUGGUCCCUUUCUCUCCCUCUCGACAACGAGUUCAAGAAGCUCGUCAAUCGUAUGAACCCUCACAGGGUUACCAUUGAUAA